CAGAAAAUAGUUUAAUUUAGAAUUUUGGCUUUGGGAGUCAAGGGUCGGAGUUAGAAUCUCCUUUUUCUGA
rnacentral:tRNA from 3 species